UCCUGUCCAGUGAUUGAGUGAACAGUAGCACACAUUUCUUCACACAACUGACCGACUCACAGGCUGGAAAUUUCCAGGAGCUGGCUGCUAUUCGCCACCCACAUGGCCACACUAAACUUGACACUUUGGGAGCCUUUAGCGGCAUGGGUAUUAUCCAGCUUCAGGACCAGAGAAGCCCAUUUAUCCUAACGUGGCACUGGCUACAUUAGUUAAAGCCUAAAAACUACAUAGACAUUGGGCCCUGGUUUGAGACUGGAACUUUUGAAGGACAUCUCCACUUUAUUGGGGUGGGUUAUAAUAGACACAUAAUCAGUCUUGAUUGGGAAGGUUGGGCUGGGAAAAGUUCUAGGGACCUGAGACAAAAAGGCCAGUUUGAGCGGCCUCGUGCUGGGUUGAUGUCAGGCCUAAUGACUGGAGGUGAGUCUAGAAGCAGCUAGGGGCAGUGUGUACAAGGACAGAGCUUCAUUGGCACCUUGCCCAUGUGGAAGAGAGUGCACAGGCCGCCUGCUGCGACGGCUGUGUUAUGGGCUUUACUUAUAUGCUCUUUUGUGCAGUUGGUCCUUAAUUGGAGUUUUUUGUUGUUGUUUUAAAGAUGAAGCAAUCUACUUUUUCAGUGAAAUGACUGGGCUUAUGUUUUGGGCCAGCACAUUUUCCUAGUGGGCUUUUCCUAUCUUUAAUACUUUUUUUUUUUAUUUCUACAACAUAUAAAGUAGAAAGGUGUUAUUAUUUCAAGAUUAGGAAAAAACUAGACAAAACUCUUCGUGUUAGAAAAGGCUCAGAAUGCUUGGAAGUGUUCACUUUGGGCAUAGUUGACACAGCAUACAAUAUCAUGACUGUAUAAAUGUGUGAGCCUCCAGGGUCACUGCUGGGGCUGCAGCCUGGCAAAUGGGGUGGAGUGCACCCCCAGGUCGUCAACAUCAAAAUCUAGGCCCAGCUCAGCCACCCUGUGAGCAAAUGGGGGCGAGAGCUGAAGCUUUGACCUGUCCCUGGCUACUGUUCAGCCCAGCUGGUGAGGAAAACGUGUUAACAUUCCAUUAAGAGCUGUAAACUUCGGCGAGAUUCUUCACUCUGUCUCUCUCGGUGACUGAGAAGGGCCUGCACACUAGGAAACCACAGGGGUGGGAGCAGCGAUGACAGGGGUGGUGAAGGUUGUGUUCAUCUGGACACCUGUUUGGGUUGUCACCCUCACACUUUAGGGGUCAUUAGGCAGUGCAUGUUAAAGCCAUCACGUCCAUGUAGCAAAGAAAGCCAAGAACAAGACUUACAGAAAAGCAUGGUGUUGCAGGGUCAGGAUCUCACUCUGCGGCAUUAUCCUGGCUGGUACUCACAGAAACCCACCUGCCUCUGAGUCCUGAGUACCAUCAUGCCCAACCAAAAGGUGUUGUUUUUAAGAUAUGGAAACUCUUAGUUUCCUUCAAGGCUAGUUCAGCUCCAAGCCCCUUCCCAACACCCCGUGUCUGUCAGAGGCAGGAAGUGGCCAGCUACACUGCGGGGUUGGGGCACUUGUGUGCUCAGCCCUGGAAAAGCUACACGUGGCUCUCUCUGUGCUUGGCAGGAAGUCGUCUGAGAGCCAUCUGCAUAUGAAUUUCCAUUUCCACAGUCAUUAGCAGUAAUAAACAUCUAGAUGUCCUGCAGAUGGUCAGAACUGGCACCAAGAGAAACAAUUUUGACAGUUUCCUUCUACUAAUAGCACUGCCUCCUAAUUAAUUGCUUCCACUUUAAUGGAAUAAUUAUAGAGCAAAAUUUAAUGACAGGUGGUCACAACUGAAAAAUGUUCUGUCUCCCAGCACAGCUCAGCAAUCCGUCUCUGUGCAUGCUUAGAACCAGGCCGCUUCUCUGAGGUGUCUGGAGACAUUUCUUCUCACUUUGGUGUUCGUCUCUGUUUGGUACAGGAGGCAGACAGCAUGAGCAUGACCACUGGAGAAGAUACUAGGUGCUGUACAGACGUUGCUCCUGACUCCCAUGACCCAGCACACGAGACACUAACGUCAAGAAUGCUCUUCUGACCUUAGCAGGAGUCUAAUUCCUAACAUUUGCUGACUAUUAAAUUGUGAAAAUGUUUCCUCAAA